CUUACUGAGUUUGAUCCUGGCUCAGGACGAACGCUGGCGGCGUGCCUAAUACAUGCAAGUCGAGCGGACAGAUGGGAGCUUGCUCCCUGAUGUUAGCGGCGGACGGGUGAGUAACACGUGGGUAACCUGCCUGUAAGACUGGGAUAACUCCGGGAAACCGGGGCUAAUACCGGAUGGUUGUUUGAACCGCAUGGUUCAAACAUAAAAGGUGGCUUCGGCUACCACUUACAGAUGGACCCGCGGCGCAUUAGCUAGUUGGUGAGGUAACGGCUCACCAAGGCAACGAUGCGUAGCCGACCUGAGAGGGUGAUCGGCCACACUGGGACUGAGACACGGCCCAGACUCCUACGGGAGGCAGCAGUAGGGAAUCUUCCGCAAUGGACGAAAGUCUGACGGAGCAACGCCGCGUGAGUGAUGAAGGUUUUCGGAUCGUAAAGCUCUGUUGUUAGGGAAGAACAAGUACCGUUCGAAUAGGGCGGUACCUUGACGGUACCUAACCAGAAAGCCACGGCUAACUACGUGCCAGCAGCCGCGGUAAUACGUAGGUGGCAAGCGUUGUCCGGAAUUAUUGGGCGUAAAGGGCUCGCAGGCGGUUUCUUAAGUCUGAUGUGAAAGCCCCCGGCUCAACCGGGGAGGGUCAUUGGAAACUGGGGAACUUGAGUGCAGAAGAGGAGAGUGGAAUUCCACGUGUAGCGGUGAAAUGCGUAGAGAUGUGGAGGAACACCAGUGGCGAAGGCGACUCUCUGGUCUGUAACUGACGCUGAGGAGCGAAAGCGUGGGGAGCGAACAGGAUUAGAUACCCUGGUAGUCCACGCCGUAAACGAUGAGUGCUAAGUGUUAGGGGGUUUCCGCCCCUUAGUGCUGCAGCUAACGCAUUAAGCACUCCGCCUGGGGAGUACGGUCGCAAGACUGAAACUCAAAGGAAUUGACGGGGGCCCGCACAAGCGGUGGAGCAUGUGGUUUAAUUCGAAGCAACGCGAAGAACCUUACCAGGUCUUGACAUCCUCUGACAAUCCUAGAGAUAGGACGUCCCCUUCGGGGGCAGAGUGACAGGUGGUGCAUGGUUGUCGUCAGCUCGUGUCGUGAGAUGUUGGGUUAAGUCCCGCAACGAGCGCAACCCUGGAUCUUAGUUGCCAGCAUUCAGUUGGGCACUCUAAGGUGACUGCCGGUGACAAACCGGAGGAAGGUGGGGAUGACGUCAAAUCAUCAUGCCCCUUAUGACCUGGGCUACACACGUGCUACAAUGGACAGAACAAAGGGCAGCGAAACCGCGAGGUUAAGCCAAUCCCACAAAUCUGUUCUCAGUUCGGAUCGCAGUCUGCAACUCGACUGCGUGAAGCUGGAAUCGCUAGUAAUCGCGGAUCAGCAUGCCGCGGUAAAUACGUUCCCGGGCCUUGUACACACCGCCCGUCACACCACGAGAGUUUGUAACACCCGAAGUG
rnacentral:rRNA from 1 species